UUUAGUUUUGUUGGGCAUUCGGUGGAUGCCUUGGCAUCAAGAGCUGAUGAAGGACGUUGCGGCCUGCGAUAUGCCUCGGGGAGUUGGCGAGCGAGCUUUGAUCCGAGGGUGUCCGAAUGGGGGAACCUAACCAGGGUUGUGCUUGGUUACCAUCAUCUGAACGUGUAUAGGGUGGUGGGGGGAACGCGGGGAAGUGAAACAUCUUAGUACCCGUAGGAAAAGAUAUUCCGUUAGUAGUGGCGAGCGAAAGCGGAGGAGGCUAAACCGUGUGCGUGUGAUACUCGGCGGGGGUUGCGUGUGCGGUGUUGUGGGGCUUGUUCGUCUCUUCUCUGCCGGGGAGGGGCUUGCGUGUGUGAUGGUAGUUGAACCGUGUGGGAUAGCGGACCGGAGUGCGUGAUAGUCGUGUAGAUGGACUGUUGCAUGCGUAGGUGGGAUAGGUGCCCGAGUAGUGCGGGACUCGUGAAAUCUCGUGUGAAUCUGCCAGGACCACCUGGUAAGCCUAAAUACUUCUUGAUGACCGAUAGUGCAUAGUACCGUGAGGGAAUGGUGAAAAGUACCCCGGGAGGGGAGUGAAAUAGUACCUGAAACCGUGUGCCUUUAAGCCGUCAGAGCCUUGUGGGGUGAUGGCGUGCCUUUUGAAGAAUGAGCCUGCGAGUCAGUGAUACGUGGCGUGCUUAACCCGUGUGGGGUAUGCGUAGCGAAAGCGAGUCUGAAAUAUGGCGUUUGUCGCGUGUUCUGGACCCGAAGCGGGGUGAUCUACCCAUGGCCAGGUUGAAGCAGAGGUAAGACUGUGUGGAGGACCGAACCCACCAGGGUUGAAAACCUGGGGGAUGAGCUGUGGGUAGGGGUGAAAGGCCAAUCAAACUCCGUGAUAGCUGGUUCUCCCCGAAAUGCAUUUAGGUGCAGCGUUGUGUGUUGCCUGGUGGAGGUAGAGCUACUGGAUGGCCGAUGGGCCCUAUGGGUUACUGACGUCAGCCAAACUCCGAAUGCCAUUAGGUUGAGCAUGGCAGUGAGACUGCGGGGGAUAAGCUUCGUAGUCGAGAGGGAAACAGCCCAGAUCAUCAGCUAAGGCCCCUAAGUGUGCGCUAAGUGGGAAAGGAUGUGAGAUCGCGGUGACAACCAGGAGGUUGGCUUAGAAGCAGCCAUCCUUGAAAGAGUGCGUAAUAGCUCACUGGUCAAGUGGUUUCGCGCCGACAAUGUAGCGGGGCUUAAGCGUACCGCCGAAGCUGUGGCACUCACACAUAAAAGCCUGGGCAGGGGACCUGCCUAAGGUUGUGUGGGUGGGUAGGGGAGCGUCCUGCGUGCGGUGAAGCCUGCUGGGAACGGUUGGUGGAGCGUGUGGGAGUGAGAAUGCAGGCAUGAGUAACGAAUGGCGGGUGAGAAUCCCGUCCGCCGAUUGACUAAGGGUUCCAGGGCUAGGUUUAUCCGCCCUGGGUUAGUCGGGUCCUAAGGCGAGGCCGACAGGCGUAGUCGAUGGACAACCAGUUGAUAUUCUGGUACCGCGUUGUGACCGCCAAAUACUGAAGCUUUUAUGCUAACCACCCGCACCUCAACUGUUCAUUCCUUCGGGUUUGAACAGCCAGGGUGUUGUGGGAUCCUGAUUGUUGUAGGUAAGCGUGUUAACAGGGGUGACACAGGAAGGUAGCUGCCGCGCACCGAUGGUUGUGUGUGUCUAAGGUUGUGGCCCGUCUGCCAGGCAAAUCCGGCAGACACGUAGGGUGAGGACUGAUGGGGGUGCCCCUUGGGGGUGUCUGGUGGUGAUCCUAAGCUGUCAAGAAAAGCCUCGACGUUAGGGCAUGACGCGCCCGUACCCUAAACCGACUCAGGUGGUCAGGUAGAGUAUACCGAGGCGUUCGAGUGAAUCAUGGUUAAGGAACUCGGCAAAAUUCCUCCGUAACUUCGGGAUAAGGAGGACCCCGUGACGUUCCCCCAACUUCUGGGUGCGAGCGUUGUGGGGUCGCAGAGAAUAGGGAGAAGCGACUGUUUAUCAAAAACACAGGUGCGUGCGAAGUCGUAAGACGAUGUAUACGCACUGACGCCUGCCCGGUGCUGGAAGGUUAAGAGGAAGGCUCAACCACCUUUGGUGGUGAAGGCUUGAAUUUAAGCCCCAGUAAACGGCGGUGGUAACUAUAACCAUCCUAAGGUAGCGAAAUUCCUUGUCGGGUAAGUUCCGACCUGCACGAAUGGCGUA
rnacentral:rRNA from 1 species